AAAAAUAGAGUUUGGUAUUAUAGUAAGUUUCUGACAACUAAAGGGACCCAACACUUAUUAAAAAAAUGGGGGGCCAAACAAUUUUUCUAUGAAAUUCAAAGUUGCCAUCUAUUUUUUUCAUGUUUUUCACUUUAGUCCUCUGUGUGUUCGAUUUCACCAUCUCUUUAAAAAAGAUGUGAUUGGCUAUUAAUUUGGGAUGAGAAUGACUCAAUU
rnacentral:lncRNA from 1 species